ACCACCUAAGUUAUGGUUAAAGACUUGAAUAUUGGGUAUAACAUAAGUGAGGGAUCUAUUCAAGUGCUGUAGAAUAUAAAAGUUUUUAUGCACUGCAUUCAUCCGCCAGAUUCUAGGACACUUACAAGGGCAAAGUGAGAUUGAGUCAGGGAAUGAGAUUAUGGAGGUGCGGCAUAAAAAAGGCGUGCCAUUGAAGAUUUUGUAAAAUGCGAUUAUGUGUGCCGCCAUCUAUGCCACCCAAGCAGGAGCAGCUUGGUUGGUUCAAUCCGGCUGACACCAACGUCGGGGACCAGGGCCCUUGACAAGUGAUCCCUGGAUAUAGAAGACCAUUUAGCCAAACUAUCUGUCGGCCCUGCAGGUACAGCCGACGAUAUCAUCAUUCUCUUCUCUGACAAAGACAACGCCAGCGAGAGUUCACCGUGCAAGGGGCAGGAAUAAUCAGAGUACGUGCCUAGGCAUGGUGGUCUACAUUGCUCUUUAAAUUCAAUUUUGUGCAUGUGUAUUUUGGUCUAUCGUCACCUAUGUGGUUAGUGUUCUGCAUCCUGUUAGUGUCCAUCGCUUAAUGAGCUAUGUAAUGGAAUCUAAAGUAAUAUGAGCAACGAUGUUUCCUAUUCCACGGAUAAUGGUAUGUUCACUUCUGAAUC